AUGCAUAGCAGGAGGCCUAGUCUGGAAACAAAAUACAUUCAGUCUAAACUUUGCAACGAUCUUGAGUUUCUCCGAAGUGUCAUGACAGCAGUGACCCUGGGCGUUGAACUGAAAUUCCAACAAGCUUUAGCUGCUCGGGCGAGCCAUGGCAGUUGUGGUCCUGGGCACCACCAGCUGAACUUGAGUAUGGUUGACAAACGAGGCAGCAGCGGUUGCGCGACACAGGGGGAAAUCUCCAGCGCCAGUUCCCUUCAAGCCAUCCACCUAGCCAACCUAACAGCUUCCCAUGGCAUGCAGGCAAAACAACCUGCUAAAACCACUCUAAUCAUGCUUAGGGGGUCGUUUAAAUGGUAUUGA
rnacentral:rRNA from 1 species